UACGAACUGUGCGAACGUUAUUCGGAAUCACUGGGCUUAAAGGGUGCGUAGGCGGCUGCCUAAGUCAGGUGUGAAAUCUCUCGGCUCAACCGGGAAACUGCGCUUGAUACUGGGCGGCUCGAGUGAGGUAGGGGUGUGUGGAACUUCCGGUGGAGCGGUGAAAUGUGUAGAUAUCGGAAGGAACGCCAGCAGCGAAAGCGGCACACUGGGCCUUUUCUGACGCUGAGGCACGAAAGCCAGGGGAGCGAACGGG
rnacentral:rRNA from 1 species